AAGUAUUUUUAAUAACUUAUAUUCAAAUUUGUAUCGGUUUACCGGAAAAGACCAGCAAUCGGGUCGGGAUCCAUUUCGCAAAGUAGGCGAAUUGAAAGAUGGCAUGGAUGAGCGGGGAGGCGCUGGUGUCGAAGCUGGCCAUGCUGGCUAAGUACGCGGUGUUGCCGGGAGUUAUGGCCGCCGCUGUGAUCUACUCUCCUCCCGAUUUUCUUAUUCCAAAACCUAAACCUAAACCUAAACCAUCAUCCUCUUCUUCUUCUUCUUCUUAGGGCAGGGAUGCGACUUUCAAGAUUGCUGUUUCCCAACAGGAAAUCAUGGGAAAGAAAUCGAGGACAGUAUGAUGUGAUGCAGGAGGAAGAACAAAGUGCAUCAUAAUAAAACUAGGCAAAUUCCCCACAAAUAACUUUAAAAGGAAACAUGAACAGGUUUUUUGUUUUUCUCUCUAUAUUACCAUCCAGUACUAUGAUGUGUGAUGUGACAAUUGAGUUUUGUUUCAUGUGAUUGGAAUUAUCAUCAGGAUCACAUAUUCAUCUAUAUCCUGAAAAUACUGAUAUCCACCCUGAACUAUCCUCUUAUAUUCAACAAAGUGAUUUGAACUCAUUAUCAAAGAUUCUUUCUCACUCUCAAAUUUCUUGCUCAGAUUCUCUGUUCAGAUCCUACAACUGGAGCCACAUAGUUGAUUGGGGUGGCACAGUGAUGCAGAGAGGGUCGGGUCCCCAAAUCCCAUUGUCAAUCAUCAAUAGAUUUUCUUGACGACGACAUCAAGCUAUACAUAUACAGCUUCCAUCUUAUCAUAGUCGUCACAUCACACCGAAAAUCCCACCACCCUCACCCUGUGUGAGUAAAAUCCUCCCUUCAAAUCUCUGUUUCAAGUUUUGCAAGCACUGUACUGUUUCUAGACUGGAAGGAAAUAUGGAAUCUAAAUUUAGGAUAAUGUAAUGCUUCCUAGCUAGCUACAACCAGAUGAAUCUCUAAUAAAUAUAUGUUUCUA